rnacentral:rRNA from 1 species
UGGGGAAUCUUGGACAAUGGGGGAAACCCUGAUCCAGCCAUGCCGCGUGAAUGAAGAAGGCCUUAGGGUUGUAAAGUUCUUUUAGUGGGGAAGAUAAUGACGGUACCCACAGAAAAAGCCCCGGCUAACUCCGUGCCAGCAGCCGCGGUAAUACGGAGGGGGCUAGCGUUGUUCGGAAUUACUGGGCGUAAAGCGCACGUAGGCGGCUUGAAAAGUUGGGGGUGAAAGCCCGGAGCUCAACUCCGGAAUUGCCUUCAAAACUCUCAAGCUAGAGUUCGGAAGAGGAGAGUGGAAUUCCCAGUGUAGAGGUGAAAUUCGUAGAUAUUGGGAAGAACACCAGUGGCGAAGGCGGCUCUCUGGUCCGAUACUGACGCUGAGGUGCGAAAGCGUGGGGAGCAAA